UUUUCCUGCUGCCAGCCCUCACUGCACUCUCAGCCACUGAGCCAGGAAACCUGCCGCUGAAUUUCUCCGUGCUUGGGAAAGGCUGAGAAGUACAAAGCAUUGUGAGCUGCCAGGGAUCUGCAGGGGACGAGAAGAAUCCUUUUCCAGAGGCUUCUGCUGCAAAUGAAGACAAGACAAGACCUCAGCUUUGAAGAAGCCUUCUGCUGAACAAAGACAAGCGACGUGACCAGGAGCCUGGCGGACCUGAAACAGAUUUUCCAAUGUCCCAGCCUGGAACCCAAGUGCCUUAACUGGGUGUCCAGGAUGUAAAUAGUUCCAAGUUCUCUGU